AUUGAACGCUGGCGGCAUGCCUUACACAUGCAAGUCGAACGGCAGCAUAGGAGCUUGCUCCUGAUGGCGAGUGGCGAACGGGUGAGUAAUAUAUCGGAACGUGCCCUAGAGUGGGGGAUAACUAGUCGAAAGACUAGCUAAUACCGCAUACGAUCUACGGAUGAAAGUGGGGGAUCGCAAGACCUCAUGCUCCUGGAGCGGCCGAUAUCUGAUUAGCUAGUUGGUGGGGUAAAAGCUCACCAAGGCGACGAUCAGUAGCUGGUCUGAGAGGACGACCAGCCACACUGGGACUGAGACACGGCCCAGACUCCUACGGGAGGCAGCAGUGGGGAAUUUUAGACAAUGGGGGCAACCCUGAUCCAGCAAUGCCGCGUGAGUGAAGAAGGCCUUCGGGUUGUAGAGCUCUUUUGUCAGGGAAGAAACGGUUCUGGAUAAUACCUGGGACUAAUGACGGUACCUGAAGAAUAAGCACCGGCUAACUACGUGCCAGCCGCCGCGGUAACAC
rnacentral:rRNA from 1 species